rnacentral:lncRNA from 1 species
UGGUUAUGCAGAUGUGUGCAGAGAAGACGGCUGCGGCCCAGAGGAACCCCAAGAAAUGACGCGGAAAUGAGGGGAAGAGGAUUCAUCACUUCUGCUGGCGGCAAGAUGGAGCGAGGAGGAAAACCAAGGACCACUUUCAUCGUUAUUAAGAUCCUCAGCCCCUCUGGUGUUGGAGAGGUCCCAUGGCAUACCAGUGAAAGGCCCUGUUCCAAAGCAUCUUUCAGAUAUUAUCUCAUUUAAAUCUCAGAACAACCCCUCCAAGAGCUAACUGAAGAACACUGUCAAUCACAAACCCUUCAAUGGUGGAGCCGUGAUUUGAACCCAGAUAGCUGACUGUCUCUCACACUGCGUACUGUCCUCAUUAAUAAGAGACACACAGUCCCGAUCUCCACCGUCCAGAAGGAGCUGCAC